UCUGGACCCCGCCUCCCAGCAGUCGUGAAGUUUUCUUAGUUGUUUGAGGCGGGAUUACUGCGCUGCGGGUGCGAGGUGAUUUUCCCGUCCGGGUUGCCUUGCGGAGGCUCCUGGCCAAUCCUGAGUAGUUAGGAGAAGAAUCUGUAAGGUGCUCUGAAAAGAGAGAAGAAAGUGGCAUUUUACUAUUCAGGAACGGGAAGGGCCUCAGAAGAAUGGGACUUUGCAGACCAAGGACAAGAGGCAGUAGGUAAGUAUUAAGUCAUGUUUGAGGCAUACUAGGUUAAAUAUCACAUGGUUUUUCUUAUA
rnacentral:lncRNA from 1 species